GUUGUCACAUGUGUUCAAGUUCACUCCUUCUGUAAACACAUCUGAUGCUCUGUCCGUGCAGGCUAUGUGAAAAGCCUCCCUAUCUUACAAAAUGGGAAAAAAAGAAUCUAGGCAUCCUCAAGAGGUCUAAUACUUCUGAAAGAGUCACAUGCCUCUAAAUGAGAAGAACACUGGUAAUUCAAUCUUUCAGGAAUCCAGGCAUGCAAGCCCCAUGCCCAACCAUCAUCAGAUGGGCUAAUUAAAAGCAAUUGAUUCAACAAGCAGCUGGAUCAUCCCAGUGUAGACAGUUCAUUUUGAAUCAAUUUUUUAUAAAAGUGAUGAAUAGCACAUAUCUAUGGAUCCCAAUAAUUCUUACACCAAUUCAUCAGAUUCACAUGAUCAGCUGUCUUGCCCCUUUUAAAAACCAUCUGUCUUGACUCAAUACUCAAUUUCUAAAGGUUUAAAAUUUUCAUCAGCUUUAUUAUCCUUCAAACAUGUGUUCUUGUCUUUCAGAUGAAGCUAAGGUUGGCUGUAUCACUGUGAUUAAAUAAGCAGGAGUGAAACUGAUUUUAAAUAAAACAGCAUGAAAAUUGUAGUUUUAAAAACA